GUCUACGGCCAUGCUACCCUGAACAAGCCCAAUUCCGUCUGAUCUUGGAAGCUAAACAGGGUUGAGCCUGGUUAGUACUUGGAUGGUAGACCACCUAGGAAGACUAAGAGUUAUAGGCU
rnacentral:rRNA from 1 species